GACGAACGCUGGCGGCGUGCUUAACACAUGCAAGUCGAGCGGAGCGGCGAACGGGGGAGUAACGCGUGAGUAAUUGCCCCCCUCGCUGGGAAAACAGUUGGAAACGGCUGCUAAUACCGGAAAGUGGGGGAUGACUCGCGUCCUAUCAGCUUGUUGGUGGGGUAGUGGCCUACGAAGGCGAGGACGGGUAGCCGACCUGGGAGGGCGGCCGGCCACAUUGGGCUGAGAUACGGCCCAAACGCCUACGGGGGGCAGCGGUCGGGAGUAUUGCACAGUGGGGGAAACCCUGAGGCAGAAACGCCGCGUGCGGGAUGACGGCCUUCGGGUUGUAAACCGCUUUAAGCCAAGACGCGGUAGUGGCAGAAGAAGCACCGGCUAACUACGUGCCAGCAGCCGCGGUAAUUC
rnacentral:rRNA from 1 species